AUGACCGGGUGACCGCGUGGCUUUCGGGCCACGAGGAAAGUCCGGACUCCAGGAAGCGACGGUGCCGGGUAACGCCCGGGCGGGGAUCGGCGGGGCAACCCGCCGGCGACCCGACGGAAAGCGCCACAGAGAACAGACCGCCGACGGAUUCGUCCGCAGGCAAGGGUGAAAAGGUGGAGUAAGAGCCCACCGGGGGGCCGGCAACGGUCCCCGCAUGGCAAGCCCCACCGGGAGCAAUGCCGAAUAGGGGAUCCAGGGCUGCUUCCGCCAGGGUCCCGGGUAGGCAGCUAAAGCCUGUCGGCAACGGCAGGACGAGAGGAAUGGUCACCAUCCGGUGCAGACCGGAUACAGAAUCCGGCUUACAGGU
rnacentral:RNase_P_RNA from 1 species